rnacentral:lncRNA from 1 species
GAAAGAAGCUGGGCAAGCUAAAGGACACGGUCCUCUUUGGAUUCCAGCACGACGCAUCAAACCAUACCAUGACGUGACUAGGACCCAACCUGGUACCAGAAAUGAAGGAACUGACCCUACAGGACUCACAACCCUGGAUAAUGCAGUGUCCUCGGACGGCAACAAGCUCUGGACAUUACCUGGGGGAUGCUGAAGGCGGCAACUGAGGAGGCUGAAUGAAUCCUGCUCCAGACACAGACACCAUUCACUCCAGAUAAUUUGUUGCUUGCUAUGCUCUCUGUUGUACAUCGCAACUCGCAUAGGGAUGCAAAGCCGGAAUAAGAGCAAUGACCACCAUGCCUGACAGACCUGUUGCUGCGCACACCUGUACUCUCCAAUGAACAAGACUGAAUGCAAAAAAACAGAAAAUGGGGAGAUUUAGGGGAUCAGUCAGAGUGGUUGGAAAAUUGUAAGAUGAAGUUACAGGAUAUAGACACAAACCUUCUUGGAAGGCCAGAAGGUUUGCAUAGCUUCAGUAAAGGAUUUGGCUGAAAUCCUUUUUACCUCUAAUCCCCUUUACCUUGAGUUGAUAGCAAUAG